AGAGCUACUACAAUAAGAGGUCCAGAUGCAUUCAUGAGAACUUCUUAAUAUUUAUAUUCAUCAUCACAACAACCUAUAACCACCUAUGCUCAUUGUUACAAAUAUAUGCAUACUUCAAAAAAACCUAUCUAUUUGAAACCAGAAUAGAUUUCUUUCUCAAAUCUGAAUUCAUUGGUUUCUCCUCCAAACUAUUGAAAUAUCACGCCUCUUAUUCGCUAGUUUCUUAGGCAACAAACAUCAUUGCAAAUUUUGAUGAAAUGCAUAGGUCCAACCGAUGACUACACAGCAGCAACUACUUCAGACAUUGGCUGGAGAAAUGCUCAUCAUUUAUUUAUUUUUUGUAAAAGAAAUUUUGAGUUAAGCAGUAGCACCAACUUGUCCUUCAGCUAUGUAUGCAUCAGAGAGAGAUAGUAGGGAAGGAGGACUUUUGGACCAACUUGUCCCUCACCAGAUCGUUCAAGGGGAGCACAAAAGCAACAGUACAUUGGCAUAGCUUGUUCCCCUUCACCCAACUAGAUCAGAGGAACAUGCAAAAAUUAGCAUGGAUCAGAUGCAGAGAUGGAGAAGAAGAGAAUAUAAGGUGAUGAUCAAGCGACAAACCUGAGGUGUUGCUGCUCCUCCUAGGCUG
rnacentral:lncRNA from 1 species